UCCAAUCAAGAAGGCACACAAGCGCCAUUAUAACGCAAAGGCCCUAUGUGCUCAACGCUCUCCUAUUGGCCUUACCCAUACCAACCACUGGGUGGUAUCCUUCAGCACUUCUUUAUGUCCGCAUAACGAACGGCCUCUCUUUUAGCAAUUUUUGCCCCGUGUGCACCAUGGCUCUACGUGCAGGGGGCAUUCUUCUUGAUGACAACGCCCAGUCUCACACGGCGAAUUUGACGGCAGCAACACUGGCCAAAAUGCGUCGAGAGGUUUUACCCAAUUACAGCCCAGAUUUAACCCAAAGCGACUACACUUGUUUGGAGGAAAGACGUUCCACACAGAUGAAGCCUUCCAGGAAGAUGUCCUGCAGUGGCCACGACAGCAGCUCCCUUCUUCCUCUGCCAAAGGCAUCAGAGUUGCCACAGCGAUGGCAGCUGUGUCCAGAUGCUCACGAAACUGCCUGUGAUCUACGACAUGAGGAGAGGACAGCAGGAAGGAGUGGGAUACAGGGCGUUAACAUACGUCCUGGGCCAACUUCAGGAGGAAAUGUGCCGACAUCCUUCUCGAAAUUCUAUCGGAAAACCGAGGGAAUACCCCAGACAACAGAAUUCGCGACUGAAAUCCAUCACAUCCCAAUGUUCAGCAUGACCUCGGCGCUUCCACCAAUGAGCAGGUGCUCUGUCCGGUCAUGCCACUGGGCGUACCGAAGGUGUAAUGUAGCAGCAUGCCUACACCUUUUUUGUCGUCGAACGUGUCCGGCUCUUCCAUUAUAAUGCGUAAUUCAUUAUA